GCCAGAGCCAUAUCUCCCUGCAGGUUUCCCACUGAAGCUAAGCAGGGUUGAGUCUGGUCAGUACCUGGAUGGGAGACCUCCUGGGGAAAACUAAGGUUACUGCUGGAA
rnacentral:rRNA from 1 species